ensembl:lncRNA
CUGGUGAGUGUGUAUUCUUGUUCAAAGGAGGUCACGGGCCAAUCAGCUCGGGUUUUUUUUCCUCUAUAGAGAUGUUCCCAUUGCUAAGUUCAAAUGAGUCAAACCGGAAGAUAGCCAUUGCCAAUAUGUGUGUAAGUAGGUGUGGGACAAGACAUAGCCCAGCACCUAUAAUACCAUAAAGCAGCUCCUUGCUAGCAGCUCCCCAAAUCGCGGGAGCUCUAAGGCGUCCUCGCCGAGCAGGGAGCCAGGCUUUCCCAAAGCAAACUUACAUAAGCAGCCGCAGCCGCCUCCUUAUUCCGGAGCAGCUGCGACAAUGGCGGCCACACCACUUCCCUGUUGCGACCGCACAACUUGGGAGUGGGGAAUCCGGGACCCCGCGCAAGACCUGGGGCGCAGUCCGCGCGUGGGGAGCCCACACUCGCAUUUCGAAGCCCGUGAUCAGCCGGGUGCAACGAGCCCUCAGCAUUCUUUCCUAAACAAAAGCUCCCCUGAGCGGUGCCCGCCAGCGACAGGCCACCUUCCCUUCCACCAUCCGCCACUUCUCCAGGUCGCGGCGCGGGCGCGAGGCUCUUCUUUGGCCCGCAGCAGCCCCGGCGGCGCGACAAGCUCGGGAGCGGGCAUGCGGCCGGUUCCGCAGCCCCGCGCCGCGCCGCGCCCUGCUCCGCCCGCGAGCCCGGAGCUCGCGCCCCGCGCACUCCGCGGCCUGCGCGUCUGGUCCUCCCGCGCCCUCCCGCGGCCAGGGGCGGGGGCGGCGCGCGGCCGGCUCCCCGGAGCUCCGCGGACGCAGGCGGGGAGCGUGCGCGGGGGUCCCGUCUGCUCUGGAGGGUAUGGCUGCGAGGGGCGGCGCCCCGCGGGCCGCGCUCGGGCCCGGCUCGGCCGUCCCCACCCCCACCGCGGUGCACUGCGGCGCGGAGAGCCGGGCGGCCAUGAACUCGGCCGCGGAGCGCGCGCGCGGGCCGCCGCCUGGCCUCUCCCCACCCGCUCGCUGGCCUGCGCGGUCCCCGGGGCGCUCGGCCCCCACGCCCAACCGCGGCCCACGCCCGAUCCCGCUCGCACCGCGCUGCGCCGCCACAUCCUGCAGCUGGCUGCUGCCCGAGCUCGGCGGGAACGCGCCUCCUCUCAGCCGCCCCGCCGCGCCCGCCGCCGGCUGCCCCCGCGUCCCCGCGCCCGCCCCGGCCCUUUCCGCACCCGGCCCGCGCUUACCUGCAGCUUGGCACAGCUACAGACGCUCGCCGUGGGCUCCCGCGUUCGGCAGCGCGCAAGCCAGGACGGGAUGGAGUGGGGGCACGGAACCCUCAGGUCACCGCUUCUUCUGCUGCCUUGAAUGACAAACGUCUUAGAGGAUGCGACCAGUUGCAAACGAACUGAACCUAGCCAACUCCAGGUAGGCCACAGCUCAACAAAGGAAAACAAAAGCCUCACCUAGCGCUGUAAGUACCCUUCCAUCUUCCUGCCCCGAGAACGCUGGAUACGGUGAUGAACAAAGUAAUAUGACGACACAGAGAUAAAGAUACUCACACGCAACAGACGUCCCAACAAGGACCUUAGCACAAGGGUUUAAAAGCAUAUGCCACCAUGGAAAAGGAACGUGGGAACUAGAUUCAGAUGAGAAAUCAGUAAAGGCUUCAUUUCACAUCUAAAACCCGUAGGAUGACAGGGGCUAGCAGAAGGGAGAGGGAAGCAAAAUUUCAGACACCAGUGUAUUAGGAUUCUCUACAGCAGCAACUUACGUGAUGGCUCUAUAUAUAAGAAGGGGGUUAUUAGAACGACUUACAGGCCACAGUUCAGCUGAUACAUCAGUGGCUGGCUAUGAACCAAAGUCUGAGAACCCAGAUGUUUCUCUAUAGGAUGAUGUCAUACAGGUGAAGGUAGGUACAGGAUAGAAGGAGGCCUGUCAUUGGACAGGAAGGAAGGAUGGGCGGGAGAAAAGUUUUAGAGGAGGAGGAGACUGGAGGAGAGAGAAGAGGAGCCGCUGAUGUUGAGAUUCCUCUCUGCCCAUUUACAGGUUGUUAUGAAUGUUCUUAAGGGAUGGAUGUGUACAGGGCUUUGUGUGUCUAGGUGGGCAAUUAUAUCUUAUCAAUUGGAUCAGAGGUUAUUGUGUUGUGUGUUCUUUCAUGUGGCGAUUUAAUUGAGUUCAAGAGAGAGUGUGGUGGCUGGACACACUGGGCCACCACGGAAUUGGGAUAUGUAUGUCUGGCAUGGUGGCAAUUUCCCUUGGGAACUAGACGGGUAGAGAGAUUGUUGCCAGGGUCAGAGAGUAGCCAUCAGCAGUAUGAUGUGGGAUGGAGCAAAGCGGGUGAGACGCUUUGCUGACUGAGAUGAAGAUAUCCCACAGAUGCCAUGUGGUAUUACAGUGCCAGCCUAUGCAGGAUAAAAGAAACCUUUUUUUUUUUUUUUUUUUUUUUUUAGCAUACUGCAACAUUUCCCAACCCACAAGGGAGGGAGGAAGAGACUGCUAUGAGAGGAGAUAGACCUUGAGCACUUGGCACUUGGCCAUGGGAAGUAGACCCUGAGGACAGGCUGACGGAACAGAAAUAAUCCGGCAGGACUGAAAAGAAACAGCAAGUAACAAGAGACAUAGGGCUGGGAAAUUAGUUAGAAUAACUCACAGCCUGCCCAAUCUGGGCUUAGUGCAUGUGAAUAAAACACCAGGAUUUUGUGUCUUUUACAUGGGCUAGCUAGAAUAAAUAUUAUGUUUACAACAGAUCAGAACGCUAUUGCUGCAUUAAUGGAACAUUUCGGGGGUUUUGUUAGGAAUGAAAAUACUUGCUGCACGUUGAGUCAGAUGGAGGCACUUUAUUAGAUUUAAUCUCAUUAUAAAACAUCCUGAGGAAUAAUUAUAUCAAACGAACCUCUGAGCCAUUCUCUUAAUCUCUGUAUUGAUACGGACUAGGGAAGAAAUUCCAGUUACUCUGAUAGGAAGGUUGAAUAGAAAGGCCAGGCCUUCCAUCAAGUGACAGAAAUACCUGAUCAAAUAACACAAGAGAACAACGGUUUUCUCCAGCUCCAAGUUUUAGGAACUUAGGACCACAGUCCAUGUGAGAGCACCGUGGUUGCUUCGCCACCAAGGUGCGACAGAAACCACAGAGCUGGGAGCGUGCCCUAAGGAGACACUCACCACACUAUGUGCAGGGAGCAGUGAAAAGGGAGAUUGGUCAAUGGACAAGAUGCAGCCCUGACGUUGUUCUCCAGGUAGCCCCCACAAGCCGGGGUCCAGACUCUCUACUAUGCAAACAUGUAAGGGACAGACUAUACCUCAAACUAUAAUUACAUACAGAAUAUGUAAUGACUAUUCCUGGUUGCCACCUUGACUGUAUCUGGAAUGAACUACAACCCAGAGUUGGGAGGGCUCACCUGUGAUCAAUGAAUCCUCACUGGACAAAAUCACAAUACCCAGGUGUCUGUGUUCUCACUCUAGCCUAAGGAACUAAGUUUAUUCUUGACUCAAAUGUGAGUGAUCAGAAUGUGAGGCUUCAGAUGACAAGGAACAAUUCAGUGAUUCCAAUUCUCUGGAGUUUUUACAGUUGUAGGCUGGGAGACACAAGUUUCUGACCUGGGUCUUGGCAUGAAGGUCUUGGGGCACAGUGGCCAUGGAAAGCUUAGACCCAGGCAAGGUAGCAGACGCUUUUAAUCCCAGGAGAGUGGGGCAAGAAGAUCUCUGAGUUCAAGGUCUGCCUGGGACAAAACAAGUCCCAGAUCCAGGCGUGGUGGUGCACACCUUAAUCUGGGCCACACCUUCUGCUGGAGAACUACAUGAAGACAUUGGAAGAAGGAAGACUCACUCUUUGCCUGCUUGCACUGACUUGCCAGCACAUCUGUUGGAACCGAUUUCUACAGAAGACCAGCUGAAACAACUCACCUCGUGGGACUGAGCAACUACUAGGUCCUUGGACUUCCCAUCCACAGCUGCCCAUUGUUGGGGAAAUUGGAUUACAGACUGUAAGUCAUCACAAUAAAAUCCCUCAAUAUAGAGAGACAUCCCAUACGUUCUGUGACUCUAGAGAACCCUGACUAAUACACCAUGCAUAGCCUUCUGUGUGUUGAGUCCCAAAAGGCUAAUGCCCAUCUCACUGUGCAAAAUAUAAGUAGCCAGUCUCUAAAAGCCCUGUAGUCGCAACAGUUCUGGCGUUGGUCAGAAGGCAGAGCUGAAACUCUUGUUUGAGAGCCAGAGAAAACUCACAGCCAUGAGCUUCUGUAAAAUCACAAAUCAUAUAUGGCCAGGGUAUAGAGUAAACGUUUCCAUUCGAAGAGGGAAGACUAGGAGGGAUUUAAGGAGGGCACACGUUCAAAGCGAGACUGAAACUUAGCCCGGAAGUCAUUAAGUCCUGUAGCUUUGUGUCCUGUGUAUGGGGCGCUUGAUGUCAUGGUAGGGGCAGAGUGUGUGUAGACCAUGUGACUAGCUCUACUGGUCUCUUGCAGCCUCCCUAGGCGAUGUCCCAUAUUACAUCUUCCAGGGUCUUCACUGCAGCCUGUCAGAAACUUUCACGGUUGCCUCAAAGGUUUUCGUCACCGAAUUCCAACACAACUGACUUUCCAAAGAAACCAUUGGUUUCCACUUCAGUGUGAUUUAGUGAACUAUUAUUUUUCAACGAUAUGGUCAUAUUCAUUCCAUUUUUAAAUUUAUACCUCCUCAUUUUAUAUGACUCUGCCUUACAGUUUCCAAGGAUAUCAUAAAAAAAUUGUACAUGUAUUUAAUUCUUUUUUAAAUGGUAUGGUAAACAUCUUAUUUUGUUAUUAAUAUAUGUGUCGUCGUAUUUAAAGUGGGUUUUAUGGUAGUUUUUGUUUGUUUUUUAUUUUAAUCCAAAGAAACAUGCCCUUUUAAUGUUGGUGGACUCACAACAUUGGUGAAGAUGGUUUUUGAUACAAUUGAAUUAAUAUAAACUGUUUUUGACUAUUUUGCAUUUGCUAUCCUUGUAUACCACCCCCUGCCCCCAGGCCUCCAAGGCAAACCCAAAACCAAAACCAACCAGCCAAAUCAAACCAAAGCAAACUGAUCCAAAUGAACGAGAAGCCCAACUGAAGAAACUAGACUUUCCAUAAAGUAGUAAGGUCAGGAAAAGGAACCACUGUAUAGCCGUGGAUUGAGUCUGCCCUUCCUAGGACUUGACCCUAUGAACUUCACCCACACUCAUAGUUUCACCAUCCCUGUCUUCCUGGGUGGAACACAGUGUCCGUAGCGGGCUGACAUUUUAAUUUGUUUAACUUUCUGGAAAUCUUGUUGUUGUUGUUUUUAUUUUUUUGGUUUUUGUUGUUGUUGUUUGUUUUUUGUUUUUUUUCUCCAUCAGGUCAUUCAGGCUCUGAUAAAACCGGAGGAGGCUAGGAAUUAGUUUGAAGAUCACAGGACUCCUGAAUGGGAGGUGGAAUUCACAGUGGUUAGAUUGGAACUUAGCUUCCAUUUCUAUUUACCACUGCUAAUCUUCCCACCAUCUGCCCAAUGUUCUUUCUCCCUUUUCUCUCCAUUCCUAUGUACACAUUUGCUCUGACCCAGUUUGCUACAAAGAGAACAUCACAGUUACAGUAUUUCCCUCCAAACACCCAGAUGUGUGUUUCCUUUUUUAAAAGGCGACAGUACCUUACGUUAUUACCACAGUGAGCAAAGGCAAGUAGCUGAUGCCCGGGAGAUGCUGUAAUCUAACCCACGCCUCAAGUAUCCCGGCUCCCCACACAUCCAGUGCUUCUGUUACUAUUACAUCUGGUUGUCAAGGGUUAACACUUCCACCGCUCGCUUCUGAGCUCACCUUUGUGGCUUUUGGUACUUACAGAGGCAUCUUCUAAAUUCUGUGGUUCCUGUUAUGGGGGAAAUACCUCACUGCAGUAUUUAGCGUUAUUUUAAAUUCCACACAGAAGGACGUGGACCCUUUCACCAAGCUCCAGUCACCCCUAUUGCCAGAGGCACAUCCUAGAGCCACACCUUUCUGAAACCUGAGAAUAAUUUUUGUUGCUUUUCUUUCUCUCUUCCUGCCUGCAAAGCUCCACCACUUGACUCCACGGUGGAGCACUGAGCCACACUUUGGAAGCUUUUCUUUUUAAAAUUUUCAGAGGACAGACCAGAAGACUUGAAUUUUUGUCAUCGGUCAAGGACUGUUUCAUGUAAGAAAGGAAAGUGUGUAUUCUUACGUUAAUAUCCCACAUGUUAUAUUCCUGUUGAGAAGCAGGUUUUUGAAGCUGAAUUUAGUUUCCCCUUCAUUGCGGCGGACACCUGAACGGUGGACUCCUGAACUGUGUGGAGGAGCGCUUCACCAGUCUGCCGGAUGGUGCGUACAGCACAGUUACCCUUGUGGUCUGGGACAGUGUCCAAGCGACCACUCAGGUCCUUUGGACUGUGACACUCUAUAGGACUGACAAAGUGGAAUUCAAGUUAUGUCUAUUAUAGAUGCUAAACUGAAGCACCUACUGAUCUCUACCUACAUCAGAUUAAUGCUCUGUGUCCCAAAUGUUCGUCAGUGUUGUGUGACGGUGUUUAGAAAUUGGCCUAUCAUAUCAGUACCUUCAGGCAUGUGAUAUAAAACCGCUAUGUGAUGUUACUUAUGGUAUUUAAUGAACUGCUCACUCUACCUUUUAUACGUGAAACUAGUUCAUCAGCGUGGUACAAAAUUUAAUAUUUUAUCAAAACUAUCAUUCUGCCAAAUAUUGUUAAACUAAUUUUAAAGGGCUGAAUGCAUUAGCAUUUACUGCAGGUGAGCAAAAAAAAUUUAUUUUGCUUUUCUGGAAAUCAAAAGGUCAUGCUGUCUUGCCAGCCGUGAGUACCCCAAAUGUCAAUAUAAUUAAUAGAUAAUUGAAAUAAAAAUUUCGUCAACUGGCAUCUGUAAUUCAGCUCCAUAUACAACUUCGUCCUUUCCAACCCUGGUGUACAUGGUUGUGCCCCUUCACAUUUGGGCUGUACGUUCCACAUAUAUUUAGGUUUGUAUUACCUAAACAAACUUGUUACAGCUGGUGAAACAGCCAUCGAACUAGCCCAUCAAUGUCACGGUAUUUAGUUUCUUAUCGACGUCAAAACAGUGUCAGUUCACAAACUUAGUGUAUAAAUUGUUCAAGUAAAGACAUUGAAGAAAAGCAGCUUACAGCAAGGGGUGGCUCCUUACCUGGUGUCUGGGUGCUGAGCUCGAACCACGUGUCACUGCCUAUCAACCAACAUUCCAGGAGCAGGCUGCUUCAUGCGUGACUCACGAUGCAGUUUCCGUAUUUCUGCAACCAGAAGAAAGAUAGCCCUUCCUCAAGGGCCGAUCAGUUCAAUAAGUGGAAAUACGUAGAUUUUCUUUGUGAUAUACAUAGAUUUGUUCUAGACUGUCUUGCAGAUUCGCUCAUAUAUCCAAAAGAUGCCCCGCCAUGCCACGGGAACACGUGCUGCACUCUGUUCCUCAUAGUGGCCUCAUUUGUAACAGCUGGAAGCUGGAAACAACCCAGAUGUCCCUCAACAGAAGAAUGGAUACAGAAAAUGUGGUGCUUAUACACCAUGGAAUACUAUCCAGCUAUUAAGAAUGAGGACGUUAUGAGUUUUGUAGGCAAAUGGAUGGAACUGGAAAAUAUCCUGAGUGAGGUAACCCAGACCCAAAAGGACAUGCAUGGUGUACAUUCACUGAUAAGUGCAUAUUAGCCAAAAAAGUACAGAAUACAACCCAAUCAUUUUAAUAAAAUUUCAUGCAAUGUAAAAAAAAAGUGUACAACUAAGAUAAAUAUCUACGAGAUAUAUUCAA